AACGAGAACAACGCGAGGUGGCUAGUUAUCGUCGAAAUCGCAUAGUCGGAACAUUAUCGAGUAACAGUGAAAUUCGCGCAUUAAAAUCACUCAAUAUUUCGACGUAACAUUAAAUUUGAAUUCGACCGAGGAUUUUUCGGUAAGCCACAAUGCGUGUUAUUUUAUUGAGCCUUUUGAUGAGCAUGAUGACCAUGGUGAAGUCUGACCACGAUCUAGAAAUUACGUUACCACAACUGCACAUUUGUAAUCAAAGAGAGAUGGAUCUAGGGGGAUGUAUAAAGCGCAGCAUAGAAUCAUUAAAGCCUUGAAGGAUGGUCUUUAUUCUUUGGGUAUUCCGAUGUUCAACCCGUAUUAUAUACUGAUUUACGAUUUUUUCAUGGCGGGUAAAUACACAAGCACCACGAUGUUUUUGGAUAUAACGAUUUCCGGAGCAGCAGACUUCGAUAUAACGGGGUUCAACUACUCAAGGCAUCAGAUAAUGUUACAGGCGAAGUUCCCACAGAUUAUAUUGCGCACAAAAUACCAAGCGAUGCCCAAUUUUACGAGGCCCAUAAAAGUAGGCCGACUGACAACAAUUUUUAAAAACCGCCGUCACCGCCGACGUCGUUAUAUAUGGUGAAAAUUACGAUAAACCGGAAACGAGCGAGGAAUAUUUUAAAGUGAUAAAUAUCCAGAUGCAAUUGAAAAUCGAUAAAAUCUCGGGGACUAAAACGGCGAGCUAUAACGAGACGAUGACCAUUUAUUUGGAUCAAUUUUUGCAAUAUCAAUGGCAGACACUGAUGAACAAAAUGCACCGGACGGCUGAAUGGUACGCUGCCAAAGUUAUCAAGGAAAUCGCUAACAACAUCUAUGCCAACUUCCCUCUGAGCGUAUUCUAUCCAGAGUAGGCAUCUUCUUGCCCUCGUUUUAUAGCCGCGACGACGAGCUAGUUGUCUUUUUUUGUGAAAAUUGUAAAUUAUCAUAUAUCAACAUGCACGGCCGAUCGCGCGUGUGUUAUUGUCACAAAGUGAGAACUCGUGUGCGCUCGUUUGCAUGAUGGUUCGCGUUUGAUCCUUUUUCAGACGAAGACGGUAAUCGAUCGUGACAGAGUCGAAAUGUCGGUACGCGGUGUAAACGGCAGCUCUUUAUUAUAUCUUCACCUGGGGACAAGUAGAAAUAUAA